CGCUAGCUACAGGCUUAACACAUGCAAGUCGAGGGGUAACGAGAGGAAAGCUUGCUUUUCUUGUCGACGACCGGCGCACGGGUGAGUAACGCGUAUCCAACCUGCCCACAACUAGAGAAUAACCUUGCGAAAGUAAGACUAAUGCUCUAUAAGUUCCUUAGAUGGCAUCUGACGAGGAAUAAAGAUUUAUCGGUUAUGGAUGGGGAUGCGUCUGAUUAGCUUGUUGGCGGGGUAACGGCCCACCAAGGCAACGAUCAGUAGGGGUUCUGAGAGGAAGGUCCCCCACAUUGGAACUGAGACACGGUCCAAACUCCUACGGGAGGCAGCAGUGAGGAAUAUUGGUCAAUGGGCGCAAGCCUGAACCAGCCAAGUAGCGUGCAGGAUGACGGCCCUAUGGGUUGUAAACUGCUUUUAUACAGGGAUAAAGUUAGCCACGUGUGGCUAUUUGCAGGUACUGUAUGAAUAAGGACCGGCUAAUUCCGUGCCAGCAGCCGCGGUAAUACGGAAGGUCCAGGCGUUAUCCGGAUUUAUUGGGUUUAAAGGGAGCGUAGGCCGUCUGUUAAGCGUGUUGUGAAAUGUAGAUGCUCAACAUCUGAAUUGCAGCGCGAACUGGCAGACUUGAGUGUGCGCAACGUAGGCGGAAUUCGUGGUGUAGCGGUGAAAUGCUUAGAUAUCACGAAGAACUCCGAUUG
rnacentral:rRNA from 1 species